rnacentral:rRNA from 1 species
UACGGAGGGUGCAAGCGUUAUCCGGAUUCACUGGGUUUAAAGGGUGCGUAGGUGGGCUGGUAAGUCCGUGGUGAAAUCUCCAAGCUUAACUUGGAAACUGCCGUGGAUACUAUUAGUCUUGAAUCUCGUGGAGGUAAGCGGAAUAUGUCAUGUAGCGGUGAAAUGCUUAGAUAUGACAUAGAACACCGAUAGCGAAGGCAGCUUGCUACACGAGUAUUGACACUGAGGCACGGAAAGCGAUGGGGAUCAAACAGG